rnacentral:ncRNA from 2 species
GUUUGCAUGGCUACUGAGCAUUACUGAUAGGACCCGAAAGGUGGUGAACUUUGCCUGCACAGGUUGAAGUCAGGGGAAACUCUGAUGGAGGACCGUACGGGUUAUUGAUGUGCAAAUCAUUUUUCUGAUGUAGGUAAAGGUGCGAAAGACUCAUCGAACCACCUAAUAGCUGGUUUCCUCCGAAGUUUCCCUCAGGAUAGCUGUAAUGCAUUUAGUUAAGGGGAGUAGAGAUAUGGGUAGAGGUGCAGGGAGCCUUCGGGUUCUCAACUUAUUUCCAAACUUCGAACCUCCUUGUUAGGCAUUUACCUAACUGGAAAUGCUUAAAUGAAUUAGCGUUACAAGUGGGCUCUGACCGGUAAGCGGUCAUGGCGAAAUGGGAUGAACCAUACGUCUGAAUAAGGUGCCGAAAUGUACUAUCACUGAUACCAUAAAGGGAGUCCAUGUAUUUAGACAGCAGGUCGGUGCCCCUAAAAGCAGGUAUCCGCUAAAGAGUGUGUUAAAACUCACCUGCCGAAUACUAGGGCCCCGAAAAUGAAUGGCGCAUAUAGUACUACCGAUCUCAGACAUCAGUUCUAUUGAACUGAGAGUAGGGGGAUGUGGACAUUUUUGUGAAGGUGCAAUGUGAGUUGGACUGGAAGAAUGUCUAUUACAGAUCCUAAUUGAAGUAGCGAUUAUCCAGGCUUGUAUCCUGGGGGCUGAUGAGGAGUAGGGUUUCUGGACAACUUAAACAGAUCCAGAGUUAGUCGAUCCUAAUCUCAAUAAUGGGAGAAAGGGAGUACAGUUGAUAUUCUGUAACUGACAACAGUUCGCGGCAACGCAUACUAUUUUUCUCCGCCAAUCUUAUACCGUUGGUAGGGAUCUCUUUCCUACAUGACAGUACUAAUACCCAGGGAAACUGGUCAUCAGGCGAACUGCGGCGUUCUGCUGGCAAAACAUAGCUUUCGGUAUGUCAAUGGCUAUUGGAUUGGUCCAUGAAGCGAAAAAUAGUUUACUGUGUCACUCGUACCGAU